UACGAAGGGGACUAGCGUUGCUCGGAAUCACUGGGCGUAAAGCGCACGUAGGCGGACUUGUAAGUCAGGGGUGAAAUCCCGAGGCUCAACCUCGGAACUGCCUUUGAUACUGCAAGUCUCGAGCCCGGAAGAGGUGAGUGGAAUUCCUAGUGUAGAGGUGAAAUUCGUAGAUAUUAGGAAGAACACCAGUGGCGAAGGCGGCUCACUGGUCCGGUACUGACGCUGAGGUGCGAAAGUGUGGGGAGCAAACAGG
rnacentral:rRNA from 1 species